GUUUUGGCCGAACCGUCGCAAACGACAGGCUCCCUCCGUCGCUUCCAAAGACCUGAGUUUUAGCUUCACUCCACAGCCACCGCCGCCAUGGCCAUCACCCCACCUCUCUUCCUCCUCUAGCCUCGCGUCUACCCCGAAUGGCGGGCGCCUCCACCACCACCUCCCUCCUCCUCGCGCCACCCCGCUUUUCCUACCAGAUCGCCGGCCGCCUACCCGUCCCCGCCCCCAGAAUCCGUCCCCGGCGGCGCUUCGCGGCUGCCCGCGGCGACUUCUCCCUCGUACCUUCCUGGCAGCUCCGCGCGCCGCCCCGUCGCCGGAACGUGCUGCGCGACAAGGCCUCGCCGCCGCUCGCGGACCACCAGGUUCGUCCUCCCAACCACGAGGCCCUCGAUCCCCAUCAUGACCAGUCGAACACGGACCGUCCUCCAGUUGAUGCUACUGGCGGACCACAAUCCUCUUUCUCAGACGAUCCAGCACUACCGCCGGAUCUCGGUAACAGAUUGGGGAAGAAUUUCGACCGUCUGGAUGCUGGCCGAAGUGGGGAUGCAGUGGCCGAGUCCAACUUGAAUGACGGUCAGAAGGGUUUGGGUCGGGAUGCAGAGGAGGGCCAUUUCUGCGGCACCGGGACUCGUCCCGUGUUCAGCGUAUACGGCGACCCGGAUGGCACCGCGGUGGUGCGCGUUGAGGUGAACGAGGAUGGAAUCGCUAGCAGAAGCGAGGCUGCGGAUGGAGAAGUGAGCGCCGAUUCGCAGUCCAUACUGUCCCGCGCAAGAGUAAUGGCCAGGGAGUUUGAACGUGAGGUUCCGAGGAACAGCUCACUGGUUCGGUUUGUUGCCACCGAGAGGAAGGAGGAGUCGUGUGUUGCGGAUGCCGAGGUUUCGGUUGGGCAGCGGGAUGGGGCUCCUUUGAUGGCUGUUGCGUGGAGCGGUUUCGCAGCGUUUUGCGGCGUGUGCGUCUUGCUCGUUGCGUCGAAGGUGGUUUGGAGGAACGUGAAGGCGCGUUUGUCUGGAAAUGUGUUUCGUGUGCCUAUACCUUGGGUGGAAGAUGGUCGGUUGGACGAUGGUAACAUCAAGGUAUUCAGUGAUGUGCAUGUGUUUCCAGGGGAUUUGUUGGGGAGACCACGAUUGCAGAGGGUUGAAUUGAUGAGUAACCUCAAAAAGGCAAAAGCAUCGAGAGAACGGUUUUCCUUCAGAAAUGUAUUUAGUUGCAAUACUGUUGCCAAUGAUGUCUAUGCAAGUAUGAUGGAGUUCGGAAGAAUGGUAACUGAUGUGAACACACUAGAAGAAGGAAGCCUUGGCCGAAGAAAUGCGGGAAAGAAUAGUUUGGUUGUCUUCCCACCCUCAGUACUUGCCGAUGUUCACACACUAGAAGAAGGAAGUGUUAGCCAAAGGAAUGCAGGAAAGGUUGCCAUUGAGGAAGGAAUUUCAGCAAGUUAUGCUAGACAAUCUGUAUAUCAGGAUGAUGUGUCGGAGUUAGACAGUAAUGAAUUACGUGAUAUCAAUUUGUCAAACGAUAUUAUUGACGAAAGUGUGGAGCAGUCUGUGGAUUUAAAAAAUGUAGCAUCAACCGCAGACAGUAUCGUCAAAAGUCAGUAUAAUGUUGGAGAAAUUGAACAGCCUGAGCGCAGGUAUAAUGAUGAGGAGGACACAACCGAGGCAAAGAAUAGAACUUCUGUGUUAUAUGCAACAGAAAAAGAAGCACAUAUUUGUUCUGCAGAUGAUCAUAAUGCUGGUCCUAAUGGCAUCGAUACCCUAUCAGCUGAGUUUGAAAGAAAAGAACAAUUUACAGAGAUUGUUGUUAGUAGUAUUCAAGAAUUAAAAUUAUCUGUGUCUUUCAGUGGUGACAAACAGAUGGUUUAUAAAAAUGGUAAUGCUCACCAGAUCAGCAAUAAUGUCGUUCCAGAAACAGCUGAUGAUUUUUCACCUAAUCUCUUAAACAUCACAUCAUCUGAGUUGAAACACAACGGAGCAUACCUGGCCAAUGGUGAAAAUGAUGUCAGUUGCAUGCAAGUUGAAGCACCCACAGCCUUUCCAAGUGAUGCUAAGACUGCUAACUGUGAUGGGUUUGCUCAUUGUGUAAGCAUCAAAAGUAAAGAAGCAUUUGAAAAUCUAGUAAUGACCGAUAUAUCUACUAUGAAAUCACCCCAGAGAAUCAGGGAAGAGCAUGUGGAUUUGAUGUCAGAUAAUAUGCAAGAACCAUACAACCACGAUGGCAAACAGAUAAUUUAUGCAAAUGAGAAGGACCAUAAGAUAAACGUCUUACACAAUGAAACAGAGACUAGUUCGGAAACAUAUCCCAUAGAGACACUCGAUAAAGCUAGUAUGUCUUCAUCAUAUUCCAUACAAGAAGAAGCAGUUCAACACAAAGAUGCAAAAGUUUCAAAACCAGAGAAGCAAGAGAAAAUCACUUCCUCCAACAUAGAAGCUACAGCAUAUCUUAAAAAAGAUAAAGGCGAACUACAGAAAGAAACGUGCAGCGAUAAGGUACCUGAAAUAAUGCUGCUAGCGGAAGAUGCACCUGGAACUGGUAUUGUGGUCGGUUUAUCAAAUGUUGUACAAAAAACUAAAAGAGUAGCACGCAAACGGCUGAAGAAAGUGCAAAGUAAUCAGGGAGCUGCAGAACAAGAUAUUGUUCACAAUAGCAGCAUGGUUGAUCAGGAAAGCAGUAGCCAGAAUGUUAAAACGACAAGAAGAAAAAAUCAGACAAAAGCAUUUGGCACCCCAGGAUCUCAAACAAGAGAAGAAAUUCCAGAAAUAGCUCUCAUGGCAAGUUUUCCUGAUGAUGCACCAAAAGCUGAAAACACGCAGCCUCUUGGUGAGGAAGGUUCGUCUGCUGGAACACUAUCUUCAAAGGAUAUUUUUAGGGGAUCUCAGUCAAGUAGGUUAAUUGCCCGUUCGAUGAGGAAGGAAGAGUUAAAGCUCAACUUUCAAACUUCUGAAAGGGUGGAGGCAACAGCGCCAGAAACUAAAACUAAUAUGCAUGGUUAUAAUGUCGUGCGUGAGAGAUCAACUGAUGUUAACAAAUUAAAGCCAAAGAUGGGUGUAGCUGCUGCCAAGAAAUCCACAAAAAGAAAGUCAUUAACGAUGCGUACUACCAAGUCGAGUAAUCCAGUGUCAAAUAGAGACUCAGAGGAACCCACUGGUGACUGAUGUGCCAGGAGAUUUAUCAAGGGUUUCAAGUAAAUUCCUCUUCUUCUCCUUCAUGCAUAGGCAUUAAGGCAGUUUCUGGAGAGUUGCACCCAGUUAAUGUACAACAAAUUUCCUGGCGAGGAAUAGUGGCAAUAUUUGCACUGCAGGCAUCAGCUGAACAUAACUUCUCUCGUAAAUCUGAGCAACGGGUUCAUCUUUCUUGUCGCUGAAAGGGUGUUGAGCUAACCAGGCUGUAUGGAAGAGCUUGAUCUGACAGCAGCUCUUCAAGAUCUUCAGGGGUGUACUUCAUGAGCUUUGGAGCCUUGUUUUUGUUGUUCUCAAGGUUAAAUAUUUGCAGCGUUGGUAGUCUAGAAAAGAUUGGGAUUUUGUUGCUCUUUACAUGUAAACAAUGCAUGACAGAUUCCCAAGAAAUGUUGAUAAACCA